CGACUCUGCCUCUCUUCACGCACAGUUUUCGCCUUUACUAAAGACCUCCGUGGAGAGGAACACUUACGAGUUCAACGCAUUUUUGAAGGGUUUUGGUUUUGGCAGAGCC
rnacentral:snRNA from 1 species